UAGAGUGGCGAACGGGUUAGUAACGCGUGGGAACAUACACAGCACAGGGGGAUAACCAUUGGAAACGAUGGCUAAUACCGCAUACGCCCUAAUGGGGAAAGAUUUAUCGGUGUUGGAUUGGCCCGCGUUAGAUUAGCUAGUUGGUGGGGUAAUGGCUCACCAAGGCGACGAUUUAUAGCUGGUUUGAGAGGAUGAUCAGCAACACUGGAACUGAGACACGGUCCAGACUCCUACGGGAGGCAGCAGUCGGGAAUAUUGUGCAAUGGGGGCAACCCUGACACAGCCAUGCCGCGUGAGUGAAGAAGGCCUUAGGGUUGUAAAGCUCCUUCAGAUGUGAGGAUGAUGACGAUAGCAUCAGAAGAAGCUCCGGCUAACUUCGUGCCAGCAGCCGCGGUAAUACGAAGGGAGCUAGCGUUGUUCGGAAUUACUGGGCGUAAAGGGCGUGUAGGCGGAUUAUCAAGUUAGGGGUGAAAUCCCGGGGCUCAAACUCGGCACUGGCUUUAAGACUGAUAAUCUAGAGUAUGUGAGGGGAUAAUGG
rnacentral:rRNA from 1 species